rnacentral:rRNA from 1 species
GGGAGGUAGUGACAAUAAAUAACAAUACGGGGUUCUUUCGGAUUUCGUAAUUGGAAUGAGUACAAUUUAAAUCUCUUAACGAGGAACAAUUGGAGGGCAAGUCUGGUGCCAGCAGCCGCGGUAAUUCCAGCUCCAAUAGCGUAUAUUAAAGUUGUUGCAGUUAAAGAGCUCGUAGUUGAAUUUCGGGAUUAGUACGUUGGUCGUGCCUUAGGUACGUACUGGUGUUACUGGUUCCUACCUUCUGACGAACCAUCAUGUCAUUAAUUUGGUGUGGCGGGGAAUCAGGACUGUUACUUUGAAAAAUUAGAGUGUUUAAAGCAGGCUCGCGCUUGAAUACAUUAGCAUGGAAUAAUGAAAUAGGACGUUUGAUUCUAUUUUGUUGGUUUCUAGGAUCGACGUAAUGAUUAAUAGGGAUAGUUGGG